UGGCAAGUCACGACAACGGACACCACUCCACUCUCCGUACAAACUCCACGUGGCCCUAAAUGACCCCUGACACCACUACUCUCCGUAACAAACUCUGCGCGGCUCUGAACGGCCCACUACCAGACGGUUACAGACGUCGCUGUCAAUCAGUUACGCUCUCCAUCUAUAAAAAGAGAUCCCCAGAUACAUUCUUCUCAAGCUCUAAACUCUAUCUCAAAAUUCUGCUAAAAUUCUCACUCGAGCACUCCAUUUCUGUUGAAGCAGAGUACUGACUUGAGCAUCGAAGGGUCUUGCCGGAGCACCCCCAACUCCAGUUUAGACUUCCCUUGCAGGUCCCGAUGGCGGCCACAGUCAUCUCAACUCCAGCAACUCCGGCUUCAGCAAAAUUCUGCACCAACAACAUGCAUCUAAUAC
rnacentral:lncRNA from 1 species